rnacentral:rRNA from 1 species
GAUGAACGCUGGCGGCGUGCCUAAUACAUGCAAGUCGAGCGAACGGACGAGAAGCUUGCUUCUCUGAUGUUAGCGGCGGACGGGUGAGUAACACGUGGAUAACCUACCUAUAAGACUGGGAUAACUUCGGGAAACCGGAGCUAAUACCGGAUGAUAUUUUGAACCGCAUGGUUCAAAAGUGAAAGACGGUCUUGCUGUCACUUAUACAUGGAUCCGCGCUGCAUUAGCUAGUUGGUAAGGUAACGGCUUACCAAGGCAACGAUGCAUAGCCGACCUGAGAGGGUGAUCGGCCACACUGGAACUGAGACACGGUCCAGACUCCUACGGGAGGCAGCAGUAGGGAAUCUUCCGCAAUGGGCGAAAGCCUGACGGAGCAACGCCGCGUGAGUGAUGAAGGUCUUCGGAUCGUAAAACUCUGUUAUUAGGGAAGAACAUAUGUGUAAGUAACUGUGCACAUCUUGACGGUACCUAAUCAGAAAGCCACGGCUAACUACGUG